UGGUGGAGUGAUUUGUCUGGUUAAUUCCGUUAACGAACGAGACCUCAGCCUGCUAAAUAGUCGAGCGAACAUUUCGGUGUUCGCGCUACGACUUCUUAGAGGGACUGUCGGUUUCUAGCCGACGGAAGUGUGAGGCAAUAACA
rnacentral:rRNA from 1 species